AAGUCGUAACAAGGUUUCCGUAGGUGAACCUGCGGAAGGAUCAUUAUUGAAUGAACUUGGUGUGGUUGUUGCUGGCCCUCUCGGGGGCAUGUGCACACCCACCAUCCUCAUCUCUCCACCUGUGCACCUUUUGUAGACCUGGAUAGACUUUCCGAGGCAACUCGGUCGGGAAGAUUGCUGCGCUCUGUGAGCCAGCUUUCUUUGCAUGUCCAGGCCUAUGUUUUUCAUAUACCCCUGUAGAAUGUAACAGAAUGUAUCAUUGGGCCUUGUGCCUAUAAACCUUAUACAACUUUCAGCAACGGAUCUCUUGGCUCUCGCAUCGAUGAAGAACGCAGCGAAAUGCGAUAAGUAAUGUGAAUUGCAGAAUUCAGUGAAUCAUCGAAUCUUUGAACGCACCUUGCGCUCCUUGGUACUCCGAGGAGCAUGCCUGUUUGAGUGUCAUUAAAUUCUCAACCUUAUUAGCUUUUGCUGAUAAUGGAUUGGAUGUGGGGGUUUCUUUUGCCGGCUUCUUCACAGAGGUCAGCUCCCCUAAAAUGCAUUAGCUGGUGCCCCGCGUGGACCAUCUAUUGGUGUGAUAAUUAUCUACGCCGUGGAUGUCUGCAAUCAUAUGGGUUUUGCACUGCUUCUAACCGUCUGUUCAUUCGGACAAUACAUGACAAUUUGACCUCAAAUCAGGUAGGACUACCCGCUGAACUUAA
rnacentral:rRNA from 1 species